rnacentral:ncRNA from 2 species
UUCUUAUCAAGAGAGGCUGAGGGACUGGCCCUAUGACGCCCGGCAACCUGAAUAUUUAUUAUUUAAUGGUGCUAAUUCCAGCUGGUUAUAUACCGAAAGAUGAGGA